GUACAAAUGAUGUGAACACAACAGUAUGAGAAAAUCAAUGAUACUGUAAACGCUUUCUGAUGUA
ensembl:snoRNA